UGUCGUCUUAACAAUCACAAAUUAACAAAAAAAAAAAAAUUAAAAAUCAGUCUUUGAUCCAUAAAGCACACAACUUUCUUAUGUACAGAACCAAAAAUAGUAGAAAGCAGAGCAAUACCAACAUCAUCGAGCGUAGACGGUAACACCAGCCUCUCCUAAAAUCUCUGUUCAAGAACAAUAUAAAAAUAGGGGUGGAGGUGAUGGAAAAAAAGAAGCCAAGGAGGACCUGUAUCAGGGAUUUGCUGAUGAUUUGCAUGUACACCUGCUUAUGAAUCGAGAGGAAGUGAUGCUUCCAAUGACUCUGCUCGGGAUUUUCUUGGAUCGAGUCAAAUAUAUGAAGUUUCGCAAAUCGAAGCGGCAUUCGACGAAGACUUCGUCCUCUCAAGAUGAAAAAGAACACAAAAUUAAUCAAUUAAUCGGCCUUUUCAAUUUUCUCCGGUGAAACUGUCGCUUAAGAGAGAGAGAGAGAGAGAGAGAGAGAGAGA